UAAAUUUAUAAAGGGAGACUCAUCAGGAGAAUAUACAAUCUGCCCCAUAGUAAGGUACAUGGACAUAGAACUAAAGGCAACUCAAUGGGUGAAUCUCAGCGACUCAUCUUGGUCCCUUAAGCAGAGAAAAAGGCAUGACGGGAUUGGGAACUUCCAGAAACUUUCAGAAAUGCUGUUUUCUGGACCAGUUUUGCUCAACAGUUUUUUUGAAGAAAUUCACCUGCAAAGAUGGGAAGAGCUCAUUUUGAUUGGGAUUUUAUUAUUUUGCUACAUUUGAUACCAGAAGAAGAAACAAUUUUUAAAAGAGAAAAAUAAAAAAACAACCUACCACGCACCAAAUCUUCAAGGACCUGUGUUAAAACAGAAACAAUGGUUGUAUUUCCAAUUCGUGCCAAAGCUACAGAUGCUGCAGAAAGAAUAAAAUCACCAGCAAGAACAGCCUUAAAAAAGAAAAAAGUAAAACUACUUUACAAUCAUGUAUCAUAGCAACUAAGUGCAAAAUAAAAUGUAUCAUCUCAUUAA